AAUUGUGAUGACGAAGAGGACUGUGGUAGUGCAGUUGUUGAUUUUGUUGAAGAUGAAAACAGCAGAAGGCCAUUUCCUGUAAAAGACAAGGAUUCAGUCAAGGACACGUUUGCAGUUAGAGUCUUGCCGAACUCAGCCAAUGCAGAUAACCGCGAAACAUUGUACGAAAUCGUUUCCAAGUCAAUGUCGAAUGGGCAUAAAGUAA